rnacentral:rRNA from 1 species
UACGAAGGGGGCUAGCGUUGCUCGGAAUCACUGGGCGUAAAGGGUGCGUAGGCGGGUCUUUAAGUCAGAGGUGAAAUGCCAAGGCUCAACCUUGGAACUGCCUUUGAUACUGGAGAUCUUGAGUCCGGGAGAGGUGAGUGGAAUUGCGAGUGUAGAGGUGAAAUUCGUAGAUAUUCGCAAGAACACCAGUGGCGAAGGCGGCUCACUGGCCCGGAACUGACGCUGAGACGCGAAAGCGUGGGGAGCAAACAGG